GGGGGAGUUUUCUUCUGUUUUUUUGGGUUUUGUUUUCUUCCAUGCUGUUUCCUUCAUGUCUGGUUCUUGUUUCUUUCUCUCUCUGGCAUAUUUACAACUUUGACAUGACUUUUUUUUAACGUGCCCAUUUAUUGACAUUUUGCUCCAGCUACAGUUGGGCAGUUCUGUGUACUUUCCAGUUUCUCUGACCUACUGUCGUUCUUUGGAUUUUCCCUGGAAACUAUCAGCCCAGUGGACAGCUAUUUAGGGGCUGGAUGUGAUUUUCUAUUUACUUUUCUGUAGCCUGAGACUUGAGGAGAUGAUGAGCUGCUCUGAACUGCCUGCAGCCCUUGCUGCGAUCCUGGACUGCAUUCUCUCUUCUGAAUCCCAGAUUCCAGUAAAUUGUCCUUUAGCAGGGCAUUCCCAGUCUUCCCAGUGAGGGCCGGGAAUUUCCUAACCCACAGGCUCUGGUUGGCUCCUCCAACUCAGUAAUGACCUUGGAGAACAGCUGGCCCUGUCAUCCCCUCUUGCUUCAGCCAAGAUCUGCAGAGAAUGACUCCUAUGCUCAGAGUUCCCACAUGUAUCCUCCAGCCUCUCCUCUUCAAAUCCAGAUGAGUUCAGGAUAUCAGAAUUCUGUUGACUCGCCUCUCCUGGGUUCUCUUUCUGGGAAGUGGGUGUGGUAAGCAAGAUUAAGAGCUACUUUUCAAAGUUAAUAGCAUGAAGUUUUAUCUUUUUUCAAUUUUGAUUGCUGCUGAUAAAUUUCUGGCCUUUUGGAAAACAAUGUUUGUUCACUUCACUGGGUAAUCAUUGGAGAGGCAUGUUCUGUGACCUGAUUUCCUUUACCCCAAAGUUUCAGAAAAACAUUGAAAUGAACAGUGCUGGUGAUUCCAAGCAGAUGGUUCAUGAACAAAAUUUAGGAAAAAAAAACAAAAACAAAAAAGCCACAGCAAGAAAUUGAGAGUCAAGGUAAAAAUAAAAUCAAGGAUGGGGUAGAAAGUACAGAGCCUUAUUUCAUACUGGCCUUAAAUACUGAGAUGUUCCUCAUUUCAUAUUUACUUAAAUAAUAUACUUAUGCAUCUAAGAGCUGGAAAAAAAGGUCAAGACACUUCAAGUUUUUACCUUUCCCAAUGUUAAAAAGCACUGAAAGUGAAUAAGGGCAGGUUAAAAACCUUAUAUAUUAAGUACAUUUAAAAAACCAAACCAAACUUCUUCACAAUCACAUAAGACAUCAGAGCGGCAUUAAAAAGCAUCCCCAAACCCUCCUGCACUGUUGAUGGGAAUGUAAACUGAUACAACCACUAUGGUAAACAGUGUGGAGAUACCUUAGAAAACUACAUAGAACUACCAUAUGACCCAGAAAUCCCACUCUCGGGCAUAUACCUUGACAAAACUUUCCUUGAAAAAGACACAUGCACCUGUAUGUUCACUGCAGCACUAUUCACAAUAGCCAAGGCAUGGAAACAACCCAAAUGUCCAUCGACAGAUGAAUGGAUUAAGAAGAUGUGGUAUAUAUACACCAUGGAACACUACUCAGCCAUAAAAAAGAACAAAAUAAUGCCAUUUGCAGCAACAUGGAUGGAACUAGAGACUCUCAUACUAAGUGAAGUAAGUCAGAAAGAGAAAGACAAAUACCAUAGGGUAUCACUUAUAUCUGGAAUCUAAUAUACAGCACAAAUGAACCCUUCCACAGAAAAGAAAAUCAUGGACAUGGAGAACAAACUUGUGGUUGCCAAAGGGGAUGGGGAGGGAGUGGGAUGGACUGGGAAUUUGGGGUUAGUAGAUGCAAACUAAUUGCCUUUGGAAUGGAUAAGCAAUGAGAUCCCGCUGUAUAGUACUGGGAACUAUGUCUAGCCACUUAUGAUGGAGCAUGAUCAUGUGAGAAAAAAGAAUGUGUACAUGUAUGUGUAACUGGGUCACCAUGAUGUACAGUAGAAGAUUGAAUGAACAUUAUAAACUAGCCAUAAUGGAAAAAAUAAAAAUCAUUAUGAAAAAAAAUGUGUCCCAAGCAUACAGGAUCCUUUCCCAAGACAUCUCCUUUUAAAAGCAGCUAAGCUGAACACCUCUGACUUUACCACACUUUGUAUUUAUCUUACAGAGUGAAAUGAAUUCUUUCCCCACUUGAAGGGAUUAAUUCUGUGUGCUGACUUCAACAAGACAAUGUUUUCCAUUUGUGCUCAGUCACAGUUUAAGCAACACCCUGGGAGAUAGUCAGCACUGUGUACAGGGAUUUCACUGCACAGUUCACAUCGAGAUCAGCAAAAGGAUGGAUAAAUCCCUAGGUGCAGUUUUAAUCUUGUUGCCAGAAAAAAAGACCAAACCAAAACAACCCAAACCCAGCCAGUGUUCAGAGUCCAUCAGGCUUAGCUUCUCUGAUGUGCCUCUGCAAAGUGCAUCAGGCAGGAAACAGCACAUCUUGGAGCCUGACCCCUCCUUGAAUCACAGCUGCCAGCCAAACCCAGGAGGCUUGGUCCUUGGAGUCCCUGGAGUCACACUGCCCAGUGUUGCAGGUCACCACUUCUUGAGAGUUGCUCAUGCUGUUUUCAGCAGUUGGCAGCUGUGCUUCACCAUUUGCUCAAGUUUCCCUGUGUUGCUUAGAUGAUUCACAAUGAUGGCUCCACAUGUCACCUUAAUCUAGUGGGCACAUUUGCAAGAGCCGCUUAUUCACUUUAAUUAAUUAAUUAAUUUGUUUUUUAUCUUGUCUUUUUUAGGGCUGCACCCACAGCAUAUGGAGGUUCCCAGGCUAGGGGUCGAAUCGGAACUAUAGCUGCUGGCCUACACCACAGCCACAGCAACAUGGGAUCCGAGCUGCGUCUGAGACCUACACCACAGCUCACAGAAACACAGGACCCUUAACCUACUGGGCAAUGCCAGGGGUCGAACUUGCAUCCUCAUGGAUACGAGUGAGAUUUGUCUCCACUGGGCUAUGACGGGAACUCCUGUUUAUUCAUUUUAAAGUUUAAGAAUGCCCCCUAGUCACAAUGGAUAAAGAGGCCAUGCAGCCAAUGGCCAGUAAAUACUACUGAUUUCCUAAUAUGCUUCAGUGACUAGUUAGGUGUAGUUAUGGGGGCAGGGUAGGACUAACUAACUGCAGGACAGGACAAGGUACUUACUGUCCUUGACCCUCAAAUUUCUUAUCUUUGAAAUGGCGGUAAUAAUGGCACCCAUUGGGAAGAUUUUAAAAAGUUAAAUCUACGGGGAAUUCUUAGCUCUGGGCAAAUGAUGCAGCUGCUGAAGAGGUCUAUAAUCUUAUUAUUUUAUUAGAGAAGGUUGGCACCAAAGGUUCAAGCUUAUGUAUUUAAAAUUUUUAUUGAAUUGCUUUUCAAUGAAAAUGAAUUUAUUGAAGCACUUCUGAAACCAGAUGCUUUUUGUUUUCUUUUUCAUUUCAUUUCAUUUUUAGGGCUGAAGCUGCAGCAUAUGGAACUUCCCAGGCCAGGGGUCAAAUCAGAGCUGCAUGGAAUCUUUUGUUUUCUAGUUUAAAAAUUUUUAUUUUUAAUGAGUUUGGAGUUUCCAUUGUGGCUCAGCAGGUUAAGAACAUGAUUAGUAUCCAUGAGGAUGCAGGUAGAUCCCUGGCCUCGCUCAGUGGGUUAAGGAUCCAGCAUUGCUGUGUGGCUGUGGCAUAGGCUGGCAGCUGCAGCUCUGAUUCAACCCCUAGCCUGGGAAUUUCCAUAGACUGCAGGUACGGCCCAAAAAAACAAAACAAAACAAAACAAACCACCUGGUUUUAUGGAUGAGGACACAAAGAAUACAGACUUUCCUGGGGUCACAAAGCUGACUAGAGGUAAGCCAAUAACCUUAUUUUGAGUCCAGUGCUCUUUUUACUGCAUUAUCCUACCUUUCCUUGUGUGAUCAUAUCCAUAUUCAUGUAGUCAUGUUCCCCCAGGGGCUUUCUAGAUGUUAGUGACUUCACAUUUUAGCUGUUGUAAUAGAGAGCUUCAAAGUAAACCUGAAUUAACCAAGACAUGUACUUACGUUAGAAUUCAGCUAAGCACACAGGCCUGGUAUGGUAGUCCUGCAGUCAUCAGAGACCCAGACUGCUUCUAUUUUGAUGACAUACCCAUUUCAGCACAUGGUAUCCAUUUAUGGUCCAAGAGGGCAAUCCAGCCUUUACCAUUAUUUCCACUUUCCCAGAAAGAUGUGGAAAAGGGUAAAAAGUGUGCUCAUCUCCUUUGUCUAAGAACACACAAACAUUUUUUUCCCUCACAUCUCAUUCACUUGAACUUAGUUAUACAGCUAUGUCUAGCUGCACUGGAGGAUGGGAAAUGUGCUUUUUGGUUGUGUCCAGCCAAUAAUUCUAUUUUUAUGUGAAAAGAGAAGACUGGAUAUUGGGAUAUAAUUAACAGUCUCUGAUACACAGACACACACACACACACACACACAAACACACACACAGAGAAAAUAAGCUUUGAGUAGUGUGAUAUUUUUACAAAAGUACUAGAAUUUCUAGAUUUGAAUACAACAGCUGGAAGGUAAGCAUAGGUACAAAGCUCCUACAAAGGAUAACUAAUCUAUUUCUUAAAAUGUGGUUCUGCAGCUUCCACCUAAGGAUCUAGGAAGGUGGUAUGAGGUUCCACACAGUCUUUACAAUACUUACAAAGCCAAUGGAUAAAAAGAUACAUAGUAACUAAGUAGAUAGAUAGAAAUAAAUAAAAACAUAGAAAACCCUAAAGAUGCUAACAGAAAACUACUAGAGCUCAUCAAUGAAUUUGGUAAAGUUGCAGAACACCAAAUUCAUAUAUAUAAAAUCUCUUGCAUUUCAUAUACUAACAAUGAAAUAUAAGAAAGAGAAAUUAAGGAAACAAUCCCAAUUACCUUCACAUCAAAAAAGAAUAAAAUAUCUAGGAAUAAACAUACCUAAGGAGGUAAAAGACCUGUACUCUGAAAACUCUAAGACCCUGAUGAAACAAAUUUUGAUUUGUUGAUGACACAAACAGGUGGAAAGAUAUAUUCUGUUCUUGAACUGGAAGAAUCAAUAUUGUAAAAAUGACUAUACUACUCUAGGUAAUCUAUAGAUUCAAUGCAAUUCCUAUCAAAUUACCAAUGGCAUUUUUGCAGAAAUAUAACAAAUAAUUUUAAUAAUUUGUAUGGCAACACAAAAGACCCUGAAUAGCCAAAGAGAUCUUGAGAAAGAAAAAUAGAGCUGGAGGAAUCAGGCUCCUUGACUUCAGACCAUAUUACAAAGCUACAGUUAUCAAAACAAUAUGGUACUGGCACAAAACCAGAAAUAUAGAUCAAUGGAAUAUAGCUCUAUCCUUUCUAUCAAAGGAUAGAAAACUCAGAAAUAAACCCACAUACUUAUAGUCAGUUAAUCUAUGACAAGGGAGGAAAGCAUAUACAAUGGAGAAAAGACAGCCUCAUCAAUAAGUGGUCCUGGGAAAACUGGACAGCUACAGGUAAAAGAAUAAAAUUAUAACAUUCUCUAACACCAUACAUAAACAUAAACUCAAAAUGAAUUAUAGACCUAAACAUAAAACUGGAUACUAUAAGACUCCUAGAGAAAAACAUUGGCAAAAUAUUCUGACACAAAUCAUAGCAAUAUGUUCUGGGCUUUGUCUCCUAGAGUAAUAAAAAUAAAAACAAAAAUAAACUAAUGGGGCCUAAUUAAACCUAAAGUCCUUUGCACAGCAAAAGAAAUCAUUUAAAAUAUGAAAAGACAACCCACAGCAUGGGAAAAAUACUUGCAAAUGAAGCAACUGACAAGGGAUUAAUCUCCAAAAUAUACAAACAGCUCAUACAUCUCAAUAUUGAAAAAACAACCCAAUCAAAAAAUGGGCAGAAGAUCUAAGCAAACAUUCCUCCAAAGAAGACAUACAGAUGGCCAACAGGCAUAUGAAAAGAUGUUCAAUAUUACCAAUUAUUAGAGAAAUGCAAGUCAAAACUACCAAGAGGUAUCACCUCAAGCCAGCCAGAAUGGCCAUCAUUAAAAAGUCUACAAAUAGAAGUUCCUGUUGUGGCUCAGUGGUUAACGGACCCAACUACUAUCCAUGAGGACUUGGGUUUGAUCCCUGGCCUUGCUCAGUGGGUUAAGGAUCUGGCGUAACCGUGAGCUGUGGUGUAGGCUGGCAGCUACAGUUCCAAUUCCUAAGAACCUCUUAACGCCAUGGGUGUGGCCCUAAAAAAACAAAAAAGACAAAAAAAAAAAAAA
rnacentral:lncRNA from 1 species